GGGAGGGGUACGACUGGCAACAGCUAGAGUCUCAUACAUACAAAACAGAAUUCAAAACAAAACCUCUCCUGAAGCUUGGUUAGUUUGCUCCAGGAAAACCAAAACCGGCCAGCAGCAUGUUUCUUCUGACAACUGGGAGAGGAGGAAGAAGGCCAUGUUGUUCGGAGGAUGACCCUGAUGGAGCAACAGGUUCCAGUGACUGUCCUUGGCCCAAGGCGGAAAUACAAAGUCAAGUAAGAACCAAAGCUGGACUCUGCUGCCAGGUCUGUGAAGUCAGGACAACUAAGCCUAAGCACCCUGCUGCUGAGAAGCCAGGACAACUAAGCCUAAGCACCCUGCUGCACUGGUGGUAGAACUGCUCGGAAGAAGCUGGACCACUACAAAGCAGAGCUCCCACAAGUAGAAAUGCUUAACUGACAUUCAAAGAAGAAAUUAAGGGAAGGAACCUGAAGAGCCCGAACUCAGAGUGUGUUUAAUGCAUUAUUAAUCAGCUUGUGCUCUGAUUGAUGAACCAUUGGAAGCUGAAGAGAAACUUAGAGCGCAACCACAUGGCUGAGAUUUGACAUAAAUCACCCACGCUCCUGUGCUCUGAGCACCAUCUAAAUCAUUCUAUGUAUAGCCAUGUUUAUAAAGCCAGGAGGUGAAUUAUCGAUCCUCUUCCAUUAGAACUACUCAGGCCCCACUGGGUUGGGAACCUUACCUUAUCUGUGGACAGGUGCCAGUGAAUAGUGUCUCAAUGCACAUGUGAUAAUCUGCAAGAUCUCUUCAAAGAGCGCAUCUCCCACGACAAACAGAAUCGGAGGGCAAUGAAGAUGAUGGCGCUUGUUAUUUUCCCUGGUCUUUGUUUCUUUCAGAAAUGGUAGCCCAUUUGGUGGCAAAGGGCUAAGGUGGCCUCUGAUCCUUCUUUGGAGCAUGAAUUAUUUCACCGUUUUCAAGACAUGUGAUCUCAUUCAGAGGCCAGUGGGAAACCACCUCACUGUUGGAGAACUUUCCUGUACUUCAGUUUCCAUGUCUAUAAAAAGGUGGUGCUAAGACUUUUUCACAAAAUUAUCUUUGUGGUCUCCAUGUUUCUCUGUUUUUCCUCCUCUCUCUGUGUGUGUAUGGGGGGGGAUGUGUACAUGUGUGAAGAGAGGGAAUGUGUACAUGUGUGAAUAGAGGGAAUGUAUACAUGUGUGAAGAGAGGGAAUGUACAUGUAUGAAGACAGGGAAUGUGUACAUGUGUGAAGGGAGGGACAACCUAGGGUGUUCCUCGGGAGCCAUUCGCCUUGUUUGCUGAGGCAUGGUUACUCACUGGCCUGG
rnacentral:lncRNA from 1 species